rnacentral:lncRNA from 1 species
GGCUCCCGAAGGAAGGGGCCAGAGACAGGCACCAUCUCCAGAGUUCUGCAGGGCCUCAUGCGUGGAGGGCCAGGGUGUAGCUUGAGCAGGAGGCUAGGCUGCACCUGCCUUCACCACAGCCUUGCAACAUCUUCCGGAAACAAGACCUCCUCCUCCACAUUCCCAGAGCCCCUGGGGCCCCAUCAGAGCACACACCACGUCACUCCAGAUGGGGCUCCUAGAGGCCAGGUGUGUGCUGGCCCAGCAGGGCCGCCAGCCAGUCCUCCCCAUCAGUUCUUCCCACUCUCCUUCUGAUCUAGGUGAGGAGACUCAGAUUCCUCGGGCCCAAAGCCUUGGGUGACCCCGGGCCCCUCAGCAAGUUCUGCUGGGUCCACCAUGCUGAAGGGUGUGCCCACAGCCCACCGUCCCCAUGUCCACCAGCCCCCAUCCUCUCUCCUAGACCCAUGCAGGUGCCACCUCCCUUCUGGCUGUCCUGCCCUGCUCUCUGCCCUCCAGGGGCUGGUCACAUUCAGCCCCUAGAGGGAACUGUUCAAACCUAAGUCACACUAGGUCCCUCCUCUGCUCAGACCCCUCCCUGGCUGACUCUGGAGUCAAAGCCACAGUCCACAGAUGGCCAACAAGGCCCUAUGGGACCUGCCACCCGCUGUUCCCCUGAGUGCUCUCCAGGCCCACUGGCCUGCUUGCAGUUGACUGUGUAGCCCCUGGGCAUUCUCCUGCCUCAGGGCCUUGGGAUGUGCUGUUCCCUCUGCCUGAAAACUCCCCCAAGUCUCAUAUGACCCCUCCUUUGCCUCCAUUAUGUCUCUGCUCCCAUGUCACCCUCUCAACAGGGCCAUCCAGCCUUCUUACAAACCUCCCACCCCAGAUCUGGCACUCCUGAGCUCCUUUGCCUGGUCUAUGUUUCUCUUUGUCCUAACAUUUUUUAACUGCUAGCACACCGGAUCAUUGAUCUUUCAUGGUUUAUUGUAUAUCGUCUUAUUCCCCUGCUGGAAUGUCAGCUUCUUAAGGGCAGUGAUCUUUUAUCUGCAUCCC